rnacentral:rRNA from 1 species
CAGUAGCCGCGGUAAUACGUAGGUGGCAAGCGUUGUCCGGAAUUAUUGGGCGUAAAGGGCUCGCAGGCGGUUUCUUAAGUCUGAUGUGAAAGCCCCCGGCUCAACGGGGAGGGUCAUUGGAAACUGGGAAACUUGAGUGCAGAAGAGGAGAGUGGAAUUCCACGUGUAGCGGUGAAAUGCGUAGAGAUGUGGAGGAACACCAGUGGCGAAGGCGACUCUCUGGUCUGUAACUGACGCUGAGGAGCGAAAGCGUGGGGAGCGAACAGGAUUAGAUACCCCAGUAGUCCCUGUCUCUUAUACA